rnacentral:lncRNA from 1 species
UGCUUCCGGCGCCUCCUAAAGACGUCACGCCCCUAACAAGUAGCCAAGCCUACUAUCCACAUGCCCAGAGAGCCCGCAGUGCUUCUGGCUGGCUUGUCGCGAUAGCAAAAUAAACUGUAAGCAAAAGCAAGAACAGUGGAACACAAAAGUCAACCUAACGAGUGGUCAUCUCAGCCUCCUCACAAAAGAAGUACUCUCACCCAAGCAUGGAUUCCAUCACAAUGCUACCAGAAAAACAAACAAACAAACACAAAAACAAGGAAUUAGAGAAGAAAAACAACUUUGAGCAACAAAAUAGAGAAAGCUACAAGCUGCUUCAGUUCUCCAUCAUGUCAGUCCAUCUGGGUCAGCUGACUGGAGUCUAUCGCUGUGAACCUGAAACACAUCGCGGGGAGAACUUGCCACGGAGACAAAGAAUAUCAGCCUUUCAUAGCCCAG